rnacentral:RNase_P_RNA from 1 species
AAACCCCACUUGGAGCAAGACCAAAUAGGGAUCCAUUAGGCGUGGCCCGCGCUGGAUCCGGGUAGGUUGCUUGAGGUCGUCAGUGAUGGCGAUCCUAGAGGAAUGACUGUUCACGACAAAACCCGGCUUAUAGAUCGACUCUCCAC